CCUACGGGCGGCAGCAGUGGGGAAUAUUGCACAAUGGGGGAAACCCUGAUGCAGCGACGCCGCGUGAGUGCAGCAGUAAUUCGUUAUGUAAAGCUCUCUCAGCAGGGAAGAAAAUGACGGUACCUGAGUAAGAAGCCCCGGCUAACUACGUGCCAGCAGCCGCGGUAAUACGUAGGGGGCAAGCGUUACCCGGAUUCACUGGGUGUAAAGGGAGCGUAGACGGCAGUGCAAGUCUGGAGUGAAAGGCUGGGGCUCAACCCCCGGACUGCACUUGAAACUGUACGGCUGGAGUGCGGGAGAGGUAAGUGGAAUUCCUAGUGUAGCGGUGAAAUGCGUAGAUAUUAGGAGGAACACCAGUGGCGAAGGCGGCUUACUGGACUGUAACUGACGUUGAGGCUCGAAAGCGUGGGGAGCAAACAGGAUUAGAUACCCCAGUAGUC
rnacentral:rRNA from 1 species